rnacentral:rRNA from 1 species
UACGGAGGGUGCAAGCGUUAAUCGGAAUUACUGGGCGUAAAGCGCACGCAGGUGGCUGAGAAAGUCGAUUGUGAAAGCCCUGGGCUUAACCUGGGAAUUGCAGUCGAAACUACUCGGCUAGAGUAUGGGAGAGGGUAGUGGAAUUCCCGGUGUAGCGGUGAAAUGCGUAGAUAUCGGGGAGGAACAUCAGUGGCGAAGGCGGCUACCUGGCUCGUACCGUGACGCUCAGCCACGGAAAGCAUGGGGAGCGAACGGG